CUUAGAGUCUCUGCCUUCGUUGCCCAAAUCAUUGUUCUCUGUCGCAAUUCACGAUCCUUGACGGAGCUCUCAGCAGUAGCAGCAUCUCGAUUUUCCCCUAAAGGAGUAUUUUGAAGAUUUAUGCAGUCUGCAACCUUCUUAUGCUAGAGACCAAUAGAUUAUCUUCAAGUUUUAUUCGUUUAUUGCACCGAAUGGUAAUAUCAGGAUUUUAGUGUCCUGUUUCUUCCAUUGUUGAGUGUUGAGAGAAUACAAGAACUUGUUCGAUUCGUCGAAUUUAUCUUUGAUUUCAAUGGCAGCACAAACCUUGUUUUCUGGGUAUUGCUCAAAUUCAAUAACCCCAUUAUAUA